rnacentral:tRNA from 1 species
GUUUCUAUAGUUUAAAAAAAACAUUAGAUUGUGAAUCUAAAAACAGAAGUCAAAAACCUUCUUUUAAACC